rnacentral:rRNA from 1 species
GACGAACGCUGGCGGCGUGCCUAAUACAUGCAAGUAGAACGCUGAAGGAGGAGCUUGCUUCUCUGGAUGAGUUGCGAACGGGUGAGUAACGCGUAGGUAACCUGCCUGGUAGCGGGGGAUAACUAUUGGAAACGAUAGCUAAUACCGCAUAAUAGUAGAUGUUGCAUGACAUUUGCUUAAAAGGUGCAAUUGCAUCACUACCAGAUGGACCUGCGUUGUAUUAGCUAGUUGGUGAGGUAACGGCUCACCAAGGCGACGAUACAUAGCCGACCUGAGAGGGUGAUCGGCCACACUGGGACUGAGACACGGCCCAGACUCCUACGGGAGGCAGCAGUAGGGAAUCUUCGGCAAUGGACGGAAGUCUGACCGAGCAACGCCGCGUGAGUGAAGAAGGUUUUCGGAUCGUAAAGCUCUGUUGUAAGAGAAGAACGAGUGUGAGAGUGGAAAGUUCACACUGUGACGGUAUCUUACCAGAAAGGGACGGCUAACUACGUA